UACGGAGGGUGCAAGCGUUAAUCGGAAUUACUGGGCGUAAAGCGCACGCAGGCGGUCUGUCAAGUCGGAUGUGAAAUCCCCGGGCUCAACCUGGGAACUGCAUCCGAAACUGGCAGGCUUGAGUCUUGUAGAGGGGGGUAGAAUUCCAGGUGUAGCGGUGAAAUGCGUAGAGAUCUGGAGGAAUACCGGUGGCGAAGGCGGCCCCCUGGACAAAGACUGAAGCUCAGGUGCGAAAGCGUGGGGAGCAAACAGGAGGCGAAACCGAGUCC
rnacentral:rRNA from 1 species